rnacentral:rRNA from 1 species
CAGCAGCCACGGUAAAACAGAGGGUGCGAGCGUUAAUCGGAUUUACUGGGCGUAAAGCGUGCGUAGGCGGCUUCUUAAGUCGGAUGUGAAAUCCCUGAGCUUAACUUAGGAAUUGCAUUCGAUACUGGGAAGCUAGAGUAUGGGAGAGGAUGGUAGAAUUCCAGGUGUAGCGGUGAAAUGCGUAGAGAUCUGGAGGAAUACCGAUGGCGAAGGCAGCCAUCUGGCCUAAUACUGACGCUGAGGUACGAAAGCAUGGGGAGCAAACAGGAUUAGAGACCCCAGUAGUCCCUGUCUCUUAUAC